rnacentral:rRNA from 1 species
ACGGGAGGCAGCAGUGAGGAAUAUUGGUCAAUGGACGAGAGUCUGAACCAGCCAAGUAGCGUGCAGGAUGACGGCCCUAUGGGUUGUAAACUGCUUUUGUACGGGAAUAAAGUGACCUACGUGUAGGUUUUUGCAUGUACCGUAAGAAUAAGGACCGGCUAAUUCCGUGCCAGCAGCCGCGGUAAUACGGAAGGUCCGGGCGUUAUCCGGAUUUAUUGGGUUUAAAGGGAGCGUAGGCGGUGGAUCAAGUCAGCUGUGAAAUGUAGAUGCUCAACGUCUGCACUGCAGUUGAAACUGGUUCACUUGAGUGCGUAAGAGGUAGGCGGAAUUUAUGGUGUAGCGGUGAAAUGCUUAGAUAUCAUAAAGAACUCCGAUUGCGAAGGCAGCUUACUGGGCCGCAACUGACGCUGAAGCUCGAAGGUGCGGGUAUCGAACAGGAUUAGAUACCCUGGUA